GCGGACGGGUGAGUAACGCGUGAGAAUCUACCUUCUGGAGGGGGACAACAGUUGGAAACGACUGCUAAUACCCCAUAAGCCGUGAGGUGAAAUGUUUUUUCGCCAGAAGAUGAGCUCGCGUCCGAUUAGCUAGUUGGAGGUGUAAGAGACCCCCAAGGCGACGAUCGGUAGCUGGUCUGAGAGGAUGAGCAGCCACACUGGGACUGAGACACGGCCCAGACUCCUACGGGAGGCAGCAGUGGGGAAUUUUCCGCAAUGGGCGAAAGCCUGACGGAGCAACGCCGCGUGAGGGAAGAAGGUCUUUGGAUUGUAAACCUCUUUUCUCAGGGAAGAAGCCCUGACGGUACCUGAGGAAUCAGCCUCGGCUAACUCCGUGCCAGCAGCCGCGGUAAUGCGGAGGAGGCAAGCGUUAUCCGGAAUCAUUGGGCGUAAAGCGUUCGUAGGCGGCUGUCUAAGUCUGCUGUUAAAGACUAGGGCUUAACCCUGGAAAAGCAGUGGAAACUGGAGAGCUAGAGGACGGUAGGGGUAGAGGGAAUUCCCAGUGUAGCGGUGAAAUGCGUAGAUAUUGGGAAGAACACCGGUGGCGAAAGCGCUCUACUGGGCCGUACCUGACGCUGAGGGACGAAAGCUAGGGGAGCGAAUGGGAUUAGAUACCCCUGUAGUC
rnacentral:rRNA from 1 species